rnacentral:rRNA from 1 species
AUUGAACGCUGGCGGCAUGCCUAACACAUGCAAGUCGAACGGCAGCACAGUAAAGACUUCGGUCUUUAUGGGUGGCGAGUGGCGGACGGGUGAGUAACGCGUAGGAAUCUGUCAUGGAGAGUGGGAUAACUCGAGGAAACUCGGGCUAAUACCGCAUGAUAUCGAGAGAUCAAAGGCAGGGGACCCUUCGGGGACUUGCGCUCUAGGUUGAGCCUACGUCGGAUUAGCUAGUUGGUGGGGUAAAGGCCUACCAAGGCGACGAUCCGUAGCUGGUCUGAGAGGAUGACCAGCCACACUGGGACUGAGACACGGCCCAGACGCCUACGGGAGGCAGCAGUGGGGAAUCUUGGACAAUGGGGGAAACCCUGAUCCAGCGAUGCCGCGUGUGUGAAGAAGGCCUUCGGGUUGUAAAGCACUUUAGGUGGGGAAGAAAGGUAAUGAGUGAAUAACUGAUUGCUUUGACGGUACCCGCAGAAUAAGCACCGGCUAACUCUGUGCCAGCCGCCGCCGUAA